rnacentral:lncRNA from 1 species
UCUUAUCUGAUUUGAUCGCGAAUUUUGCCUAAUUAUGGGCUUUAAUAAUGCAAACUUCAUUCAACAAUUGGAGACAUAUCUCAUGUCAUAUAUUAUAAUUUUUGCAAUCAAGAAAGGCAAUCUACUACUCUUUCAUAAGGAAUCGAAAGGCAAGAUACAAGAAAUCAAUCUUUUGAAUAUAAUUUCUCAAUUUUUGGGCAAAAAGAAUAAGAUGCAACUGGAGAUUAAUCAAUGAAAAUUAAAGAGAUUUAAGAUUUCACAACUUCUCUUUUUCUUCGUAUAUUUCAAAUUGGGGCGAUGUCUUAUUACUUCAAUAUGAUUUCUUGUAACAUUAUAAUGUUAGGCUAAACUUGUAGUAAAUAAGACAUCAAUAAGGUAAUUCCGUUUUCUUCUAGUAUUAUUAUUGUUCAUCUGUCAUUUAUCAAUGCCUUCAUUAUUUUGUUUUUUACGAUGUAUAUUCUUUUAGAUCAUUUUUAAAAUAAGUGGACUAGUUUUAUCAACGAACGUGCAAUGCACAUUGGUCGCACUAGUACUGAUAAAAUUGAGAGUUUGAAGAUGGAUUUUAAAAUGUCAAAAAGACCUUUAUGACCCCAACAGUUGCUUUUGGACCGUUGGAUUAAUUUUAUGAAAAUAUUUCUUUUAGUUAGAAGAGCCUUUAGAAAAGAAUCUUCCAACUUGUUACUUGUGUAUCAAAAUUUAUAU